rnacentral:lncRNA from 1 species
CGGGAUGGCAUUCUGAGAGACCAGGACAGUCUCCAGCAGUGGGCCUAGGGGAACCUUUUGAAGUUAAACAAAGCCAAGUGCAAGGUCUUGCACCCGGGUUGUGGCAACCUCCACUACCACUACAAGCUGGGCAAUGUAAGGACAGAGCACAGCCCUGCCGAAAAGGAACUGAGGGUACUGGUGGGUGGCAGCUGUACAUGAGUCAACAGUGUGCCCUCACAGCCCAGAAAUUCAACCGUUUCCUGGGCUGUCGGAGAGUUGGACAACAUUACCUUUAAAGGAUCCCUUCCAAAGUAAAAGAUGCUAUGAUUCUAACCUGGAUGGCCAGUGCUACAUGAAAAAAGAAAAAAAAAAAAAAUACAGAGUGGGAGAAAGAUAAACAAUCACAAUAUAAGGAGUUUAAUGACUGAGCAGCAACUGGGUGGUUAUUUAGCUGGGCUAAGUUCUACACAGUUCUGGUGAGAUCAUUUUACCACGAAACCUAGAAGUGGACCAUGCUAGUUAUUGUCCAUUGCACCUGUUUUCAGGAUGACAUCUUUUAGCCACAACUCUUGUAAUGUAACUGAUCUCUCACCUCUUCUAGGCUAGGAACUCCAGCUUCUGCUCCUUUUUGUCUUAAAGGUCAGGCUCAGGCGUGAACAUUGUGACUUAGUACUUCAGAGAUGGCUUGAGAAAAGGAAAAGGACUGAGGUGUAGGACUCUGUACUUGCCCUUGUUGAGCCUCAGGAAGUUCCUCUCCACUCAACUUUCCAGCCUGUCCAGAUCUUGCUGAACAGCCUUCUGAUAAACUUGCUGAGGGAUAGAGUGCAUCCUCAGCAAAUUUGAUUUACGUCUUUCAUGUGCAGAAAUGACUCCUAAGGAUCAAAGUUCAGAUGAACUGAGACUCCUAGACACUUAAGUAUGACAUCCAGCUGCCUUUGGAGCUAUUCAGAAGCCAACUUGUCUUCAGCACUGAGGUAUCAUGCUCCACAUCCCAGCAAGUAAAGGGCAUGAUAAUGCAAGGUUCCCAAUACCUUGAAUUUUGGCAUGGUGUGGAGUUUUAAGGGCUCAGUAUUUUAUAAAGACAAAGUAAAAUAGUUCUUUUCUUCUUCACCCUGCUGAGGUGCUAAAGUCAGCUUGCAAGCAGAUGAAAAAAAAUUGAUUUCCUCUCUACUCG